ACUACAGUGGCGGAAAUUUUGAUACUGCGGUGCCUUUCCAUUUGAAAAAUAAAUAAAGCUCUGAGCAGUGAAUCCCUGGAGAAAACAGAAAGAAAGGCCCAAGAUCCAGAAAGUGGCACAAUAGAUAAAGUUUGGACUUGGAGGUGUGACAUCCUGAGUUUGAUCCCCAGCAUUAUACGUGUCAGAGUGAUGCUCUGGUUCUUUUUUGUUCUCUCUCACUCUCUCCCCCACAUUAAUAAUAAAUAAAUAAAUAGAUU